AGUGGGAUAGCUGGGUCAAAGGGUGGUUCCAUUCCAAAUUUUCUAAGCAAUCUCCAUACUGCUUUCCAGAGUGGCUGUAGCAAUUUUUAGUCCCACAAGCAAU
rnacentral:pre_miRNA from 1 species